CUCCACAUGGCCAAUGGCCGCGCGCUCUGCCCGCCCCGCCUCCUCGCUGCGGGAAGGGUCCUGGGCCCCGGGCGGCGGUCGCCAGGUCUCAGGGCCGGGGGUACCCGAGUCUCGUUUCCUCUCAGUCCAUCCACCCUUCAUGGGGCCAGAGCCCUCUCUCCAGAAUCUGAGCAGCAAUGCCGUUUGCUGAAGACAAGACCUAUAAGUAUAUCUGCCGCAAUUUCAGCAAUUUUUGCAAUGUGGAUGUUGUAGAGAUUCUGCCUUACCUGCCCUGCCUCACAGCAAGAGACCAGGAUCGACUGCGGGCCACCUGCACACUCUCAGGGAACCGGGACACCCUCUGGCAUCUCUUCAAUACCCUUCAGCGGCGGCCUGGCUGGGUGGAGUACUUCAUUGCGGCACUGAGGGGCUGUGAGCUAGUUGAUCUCGCGGACGAAGUGGCCUCUGUCUACCAGAGCUACCAGCCUCGGACCUCGGACUGUCCCCCAGACCCACUGGAGCCACCGUCACUUCCUGCUGAGAGGCCAGGGCCCCCCACACCUGCUGCGGCCCACAGCAUCCCCUACAACAGCUGCAGAGAGAAGGAGCCAAGUUACCCCAUGCCUGUCCAGGAGACCCAGAGUUCAGAGCAAGCCCUGCAGACGCUCAGCCCCAGAGCCAUCCCAAGGAAUCCAGAUGGUGGCCCCCUGGAGUCCUCCUCUGACCUGGCAGCCCUCAGCCCUCUGACCUCCAGCGGGCAUCAGGAGCAGGACACAGAACUGGGCAGUACCCACACAGCAGGUGCGACCUCCAGCCUCACACCAUCCCGUGGGCCUGUGUCUCCAUCUGUCUCCUUCCAGCCCCUGGCCCGUUCCACCCCCAGGGCAAGCCGCUUGCCUGGACCCACAGUGUCAGUUGUAUCUACUGGUACCUCCUUCUCCUCCUCAUCCCCUGGCUUGGCCUCUGCAGGGGCUGCAGAGGGUAAACAGGGUGCAGAGAGUGACCAGGCCGAGCCUAUCAUCUGCUCCAGUGGGGCAGAGGCACCUGCCAACUCUCUGCCCUCCAAAGUGCCUACCACCUUGAUGCCUGUGAACACAGUGGCCCUGAAAGUGCCUGCCAACCCAGCAUCUGUCAGCACAGUGCCCUCCAAGUUGCCAACUAGCUCAAAGCCCCCUGGUGCAGUGCCUUCUAAUGUGCUCACCAAUCCAGCACCAUCCAAAUUGCCCAUCAACUCAACCCGUGCUGGCAUGGUGCCAUCCAAAGUGCCUACUAGCAUGGUGCUCACCAAGGUGUCUGCCAGCACAGUCCCCACUGACGGGAGCAGCAGAAAUGAGGAGACCCCAGCAGCUCCAACACCCGUCGGCGCCACUGGAGGCAGCUCAGCCUGGCUAGACAGCAGCUCUGAGAAUAGGGGCCUUGGGUCGGAGCUGAGUAAGCCUGGCGUGCUGGCAUCCCAGGUAGACAGCCCGUUCUCGGGCUGCUUCGAGGAUCUUGCCAUCAGUGCCAGCACCUCCUUGGGCAUGGGGCCCUGCCAUGGCCCAGAGGAGAAUGAGUACAAGUCCGAGGGCACCUUUGGGAUCCACGUGGCUGAGAACCCCAGCAUCCAGCUCCUGGAGGGCAACCCUGGGCCACCUGCGGACCCGGAUGGUGGCCCCAGGCCACAAACCGACCGGAAGUUCCAGGAGAGGGAGGUGCCAUGCCACAGGCCCUCACCUGGGGCUCUGUGGCUCCAGGUGGCUGUGACAGGGGUGCUGGUAGUCACACUCCUGGUGGUGCUGUACCGGCGGCGUCUGCACUAGUGAAGCCCUGGGCCCUUCCCACCACCCAUCUGUUCCGUUCCUGCAGUACACCUGGCCCCUCUCCGAAGCCCCUUGUCCCUUUCUUGGGGAUGGUGGAGGCUGGGUCAGAGGGGAGUUAAGGGACUGCAGGCCUGGCAGCAGGACAUGCCUUGGCUGAACCAAGUCCUGAGAGCAGCAUCUCUGUCCCCACUGUGCCUUGUGUGGGUCCCCGUCCUUGGCUUUCUGGGUCCUGGGCUGCCCCCAGUGCUCCAGACCUUCCCCACUGGCAAUCCAGGUUAUCCUCCAGAGGAGCUUCCUCCUCCAGGCCUCAGCCCUGUUGGCCCAGGUGGAGCAGGAGGGACCACUGCAGCACGCGGUGCUUGGGAAUGCUUCUCCUGUUGCAUUGGUCCCUGAAGGCCUCAGGGCAGGUGUGUGGUGUGUGGGCGACUCCACAAGACCUGCCUCCCAUCCUGGCAGCCCAGCCUGAGACCGUUGCAUUGAGGCAGGCAGGAGCGGCAGGGUGGCUGCUCUCCAGGAGCCCAACUGCCUUGAGUUCCUGCCCCACUGGGCCCCCUCCCCUGCUGGGCAAUCCUGGGAAAGUCUGGAGGUUCCUGUGGACCUCAGGGAAGCCAGGGGCAGCUGUCAGGCCUGAGGAAGACCUCUGGAGCUCCUCUCCAGCCUCCUCUUUCCCUCCCCUCUGGUCUCCAUUCUCUUCAGCUCCCUACAUGGGCUGGGGAGGAGACACCUGGUGGGCAGAGCUCAGGCAGAGGUUUGGAUUUCAGCUCCCUCACUUCCAGGGCUGUGUGGCUUUGGCAGAUGUCAGACUUCUGGUCUUGCUUCUCCACGUGGACAACAGCAUGAAGUAACAAUGAGGCAUCCACCUGUUGGUUUUGUGGCCUCUGUGGAUGACGUCUCUCACCUUGAACCAGUUCAGAGCUGGAGUAGCGCUGGAUCCUGUCUUCAGAGGAGGGGCCGAAGUGGGUUCCUCUGUUGUCAAGCUCUUUGGAGGUGCCUGGCUGCUACUACUGUCCCAGCGAGGUGAUGAUGAAUGAUGGGUGUGUCCAGUGGCAGUUUGCCCCACUGAGGCAGGGGCUUCCACUAGGCCCUGACAGAGCCCUUCCAGCAGGCAGAAAUCGCUGUGCUAGGCAAGAUUCAAACUCCGUAGCAUGUCUCCUGCUCCCAUCUCUUAGGAAUGGAGUCCUUCAGGCCUUGAGUCCCACAUUUUCCAUGAUGCUCCAUUAAGCAGCUGAUAGCACCCCCACCUCCAGGGAAAGUGAGUUCAGAGUCCUUGGUCUAAUGCAUCUGUGUUGAAAUUGAGGCCUUCCCCUGUGUUCACCUUUCUGCUCUUUUUCCUUUAGCCCAAGGCUAUGAAGGCCUCAUUCGGUGCUGGGCAUGGUCACUCCUAGCAUUCCUCACUCUGUUGCUAACAGCAACAGCAAUAAUAAUAAGGGUUACAACUUACUCCAUACCUUACUGUCUGCCAGGCAUUAAGCUAAGUGCUUUACAUAUAUUAAGUCAUUUAAUCCUCACAAUGACCCUAUGAAAGAGAUACCAUCUCAACCCAAUUGACAGCUGGUUUGCAAGAUUAGGAGGGAUGAAGGACCCAGGGGACAAUGCGAGGGAAAACUCUGACCCCGGGGCCCCAGGCUGGAUGCUCUUUAUGCCUGUGAACCACAGCUUAUCACAUGUCUGGAGUUAGGGACCCCACUUAAAGUGAGAUUUUGGCUGGAGGUGGUGGAUCAUACCUAUAAUCCCAGCACUUUGGGAGACCAAGGCAGAAGGACUGCUUGAGGCCAGGAGUUCAAAACCAGUGUAGGUAACAGCUAGACCCUAUCUCUAAAAAAAAUUUAAAAAUUAGCUGGGUGUGGUGGUACGUGCCUCAAGUUCCAGCUACUCAGGAGGCUGAGGUGGGAGGAUCACUUGAGCACAGGAGUUUGAAGUUACAGUGAGCUAUGAUGGCACCACUGCACUUCAGCCUGGGCAACAGAGGGAGACCCUGUCUCUAAAGUACAUAGAGAUUUUCACACCAACACAUCUCUGCCCAGUAUGCCAACAUCUGCCACCUGCUAUAAUAGUACUAUAACACUCAGUAUGUAAUUAAUGUAGUCUCAGGGAUGUUAUGACAAUAUGAUUACAACUAUCACGUGUGUGCCCAGCCAGGCUCAAUGCCCCAGGCUGGGGUGAGGUGGGGCAGGGGACACAGCCUAAAAUGCCAGGCCUCAGGAAGCCAUUUGGUUUAGCAGACAUUGUUUAUUAAAGGAGUUCCCUAUGCCAGAUCGAAGGCCUAAGAUGAUUAAGACACUAUGAGUGCCUUCAAGUGGUUUGGGAUGUUCAUGAUUGUGGUACAGACAAAUAGGCUUUCACAUCAUUCUUUUAUGUAAUCAUACAACAGAUAUUUGCACCUGCAUGUGCAGAACACUGGGAUAGGCCUCAGUGACACAGAAUAAUACAGCAAAAACCCCACCCGAUGAGCCCCCUCCCACCACCCACCAGUACAGUAGGGGGUGGUUUAAUGGAGUGUUCCUGGAACAUGAAGUGGGGGCAGGCAUUAGGGGUGGCAAAGGGACAAGUGUUUAUCUGAUCAGUUAUGUACUGUUUAUAAUAAGUAAAUCAGCAGAGGGGGAAUAAUACUUAGAACCUAUAGAGAGUAAAUCUGACAAGAUGAAAUGCUGAUGAAAAUAUGGAGGAAAUGAAACUCUCAUGGGUUUUGCAGGGAAUCUAAGUCAGUGCUGUGUUGUGAAUGUAGGUGUACCCUUUGAAUUCAUAUGUUGAAACCUAACCCCCAAAGCAAUGGCAUUAAGAGGUGGGGCCUUUGGGGCUGGGUAUGGUGGCUCAUGACUGUAAUCCCAGCACUUUGGGAUGCUGGCAGGGGGCAGAUCACUUGAAGCCAGGAGUCUGAGAUCAGCCUGGCCAACAUGGUGAAACCCCAUCUGUACUAAAAAUACAAAAAUUAGCCAGGUGUGAUGGCGUACAUCUGUAAUCCCAGCUACUCGGGAGGCUGAGACAGGAGAAUAGCUUGAACCCAGUAGGUGGAGAUUUCAGUGAGCCGAGAUCGUGCCACUGCACUCCAGCCUGGGUGACAGAGUGAGACUCCAUCUCAAAAAAAUAAUAAAAUAAAGAGUGGGGCCUGUGGGAGGUGGUUAGGUCAUGAGGGUGGAGAUUAUGAAUGGGGUUAGCACCUUAUAAAACAGGCUUGAGGGAGCCCUUCUGUCCCUUCUACCGUGUGUGGAUGCAGUGAGAAGGCACCAUAUCUCUGAAGCAGAGAGCCCGCCCUGGACACUGGAUCUGCUGGCACCUUGAUCUUGGACUUCCCAGCCUCUAGAACUGUGAGAAAUAAUUUUUUGUUGUUUACAAAUUACCCAGGCUAAGGUGUUUCAUUGUAGCCUGAAUGGACCAAGCUGGUGUGACCCUGUUGGAAAACUGGCAGUAUCUACCAAAAGCCGAACAUACAUAUAAACUGUGAUCCAGCAGUUCCACUCCUGGGUAUGUACACCACAGAAAGCUAUGUCCACCGAGACAUUGGCAAGAAUGUUUCUAACCACCACGCUGACUGUAGCCCCAAACUUGAAACAACCCAAAUGUCCAUCCACCAACCCAAAUGUCCAUCCACUGUUGAAGUUGCAGUGAAGUCACAGGGUCGAAUACUACUGCACAGCAACGAAUAUGAAUGAAAAUAUCGCUAUGCACAGCAACAUGGAUAAAUUUCACAGACAUGAGGUCAAGCAAAAGAGGUCAGAGUCCUCACCAUCAAGAGAGAAUUCAUUGUAUGAUUCUCUUCCUACAAAAAGUACAGAAAUAAGCAAAACUGAUCCAUGGUGUUAGAAGCCAGGGGAACGGUUAACAGGGGAGGGAUACUGGGGAGGGGCAUCCUGGAGUGCUGGUCUACCUCCUCAUCUGGGUGUUGAUUUCACGAGUAUUGUCAGUUUGUUUCCAGACUCCCUGUUGGAGAUGUGGAAAUAAAAACCACCUAAACAAGAGCAGAGAGGCCAUUUGGUCAAAGUUUGCAAAGGAGUCAGCCAUGAUUGCUUGUAUUUGGCAGGGGUCAAAGGCAGGCAGGGACUGGGAAAUGUUAUAGUGGAAAAAAAGGGAAGGCUCUGGGUGUGCUGUGAUUGGAGAUUGUUGGCAUGGGGACGGAGCGGACUAACUGGAGGGGCAUCUUUGGUUGGUUGGGGGGGUAUAUUUGGCUUUCUCUGGUUGGUCUGGAGUUGGAAGAGGGGGUGUGGUGGCUGGGGAUUGGGAAGAAGCUGGCAGCCACUAAGUUCAGACUGUUCUGGGUCCGAUUGCUGCUGAGGCUGUGGUUUGGCUUCCUUGGCUUCCCAGGCUGGUUAUGGGUUUCUGGCCAGAGUCUAUUGUCGUAUGUGGCCUGGCCAUUGUCCAGUUGUAUGUUCAGUCUCUUGGAAGGAAGGGUAUUGACUCUGAGAGGGGCCACCAUCGCUGGAAUGGGGGACACACAUACUUCCUCCAGCUGCCUACACCCCCCUAGGGUCAGUGGUGCCUGCCUGUGAGGGUGAGCCCAAUGGCUAGAGGGCUCUGCUCCAAGUCAUUGCUUACUACACCCACAAACAUUCUUCAUUCUUUAAGGCCUAACUUAAAGCCCAGAUCCUACAGGAAACCUUGAUUAGACCCCUCUCUUUAUUAAGCUUCCUAAAAUCAAACCCUGCUUUUGUGUAAAUGCUGACCUCCUUGCCUACAUUUUAAAAACCUAGAGCUGGGCAUGAUGGCCUCAGCCUGUAAUCCCAGUGAUUCAGGAGACUGAGGUGGGAGGAUUGCUAGAAGCCAGGAGUUCGAGACCAGCCUGGGUAACAUAGCUAGACCACAUCUCUUAAAAUAAAAUAGUUAAUUUAGCCAGGCAUGAUGAUAUGUGCCUGUAGUCCCAACUACUUGGAAGGCUGAGGUGUGAGGGUCUUUGAGCCCGGGAGGUUGAGGCUACAGUAAGCUAUGAUCUCACCACUGUACUCCAGGCUGGAUGACAGAGCGAGACCCAGACUCAAAAAAUAAAAAUAAAAACCCCGAAUAUCUUCCUUCUA